CAAUAGCGUAUAUUAAAGUUGUUGCGGUUAAAAAGCUCGUAGUUGGAUUUCUGCCGAGGACGACCGGUCCGCCCUCUGGGUGUGUAUCUGGUUUGGCCUGGGCAUCUUCUUGGAGAACGUAGCUGCACUUGACUGUGUGGUGCGGUGUCCAGGACUUUUACUUUGAGGAAAUUAGAGUGUUUCAAGCAGGCACACGCCUUGAAUACAUUAGCAUGGAAUAAUAAGAUAGGACCUCGGUUCUAUUUUGUUGGUUUCUAGAGCUGAGGUAAUGAUUAAUAGGGAUAGUUGGGGGCAUUCGUAUUUAACUGUCAGAGGUGAAAUUCUUGGAUUUGUUAAAGACAAACUGCUGCGAAAGCGUCUGCCAAGGAUGUUUUCAUUGA
rnacentral:rRNA from 1 species